AGAGGUGAGGUUUAUCAUUCAUAACUAUAAGCUUCUGAAUGAGAAGUAUAUGUGCAUAGUGAAAGAGGUUAUUAACGACCAAGCUAUAUCACCCCACAUUAGAAGUAACUCUCCAAAAUUGAGAAAUACUACCACAACUGAAGGGAACAUGGGAAAAAGAAAAGCCACCUUAAGGACCUACAAGUAGAAGAAAACAACUACCCCAUCACAACCAUAGACAACCUCGACUACCUGCCAAUUCUGAUGCCGCUUUCUAGUCCAAAAGGCAGCAAGCUCUGCUUCAAACACAGCAACACUGAACCCAUUCUGGAUCGACACCAGGCGCUAGGGGGAAUACGCCUAGGGGAAAGAGGAUGUUGUUUUCCAAAGCGAUCUGAAAUAAGGGAGAAAAAACUUAUGUCAGUAGCAGCUCUAUCCCAGGACUUCAAUAUGAGGCACAACAAAACUUCCUGCAAAUUUGGCAUGUUGAUAGAAGCUAGUGGGGGAAGGAGAUUAGGAAAUUAAUUCCUCGUGUAGAUACCUAAUGACAAGCAUAGCUUAAUUAUAGUAACUUGUAUGCACUAAAAACUUGUAAUGGAUUCUAUGUUAAUGUUAAUGACAACAUGCAUGAAUUUCAUUGCAGGGUAUGACACUAACUUUCUUCCCCACUAACGACAUGAAGAUUGUUGGGCUUGAUCUGUGUGUUGUUGCGUACAUAUUAAACACAAAGCUUGAUAAAGAGUGCUGAUUCUUCUUACAUGUAUGUUAGCUCAAAACUCUACACGGAUCCAUUGGUUCCUUCCGGCAACCUUCUCUGCUAUUUCUUUGGAGGAGGUGAUGGACAAUGAUGACUAGUAUGACAACCCAAAGAAACCCAAGGCACUGUGCAGUGAUUAUAAGAUAAAGGAGCCUAAAUUGAUCAGGCAGAUCCUUGGAAGUAGAUGGUGAUGUAUCACCUGUGGAACUCAUAUAAGCCUAGAAAAUUACUGAGUGCAGCCGUAUGAGGCUCACUGUUGACAUAGAUAAAUACCAUAAUGAGGAGCGCAUCGAGGUCUUCCAAGAUGUAUUAUAAUAUUGAAGGAACUUCACCAAAGGUUCCCCACCUAUAAAGUGACUUACAUGUUCACAGCAAAUAUUUUGAUAAUGCUUUCUUGAAUUACAAAAGUCUGGGUGACGAAUACAUACGGUAUAAUAGUAUGAAUACCAUCUACUUUUGAAAUGGGCAAUGCAUUUGUAGAUAUUUGUUUGUACGACUACUGUGGCUAAACUAAUGUGCCUGUUUGUGUAACCUAUGACACCUAUAACCUACAAAGAUAACAUGUUCAUACAAUUGUUAAUUUAUAAUUAUGACUCUGCAAAUUUUCUAAAACAGAGAAUCAAAUAUGAUGCACAAUCCUAUCGGCAGAAAUUAACCAUAGUGAUAAUCAUUAGCGAUACAAGUACAGUGUUAGGAGUUACAAAUGAGGUUUGUCUAGACAAGCACCUUUCUUGGCCACAGCAUAAAACAAUCAAAGUCUUCAAAGAGUGUGCGAAUGAUACACUCAACUUUUGUAAAGUAAAACUAAACCUAUGCAUGCUUAUGUUAGACUUAAACAAUGUCUUUUGGACCUUUAUAAAUUCAUCAAGAUGAAUCUAGUAUACUUUCAAAAUACUACUUUUAAGGAUGAUGUUAUUCUUUCCGAUUACUCUUUUAGUCUCCAAAAUUUUGCUUGAUCUCUGAAA